GCGCCAGUAGCUCAGUGGAUAAAUUGUUUGUUUCCUAAACAAAGGUCAAUGGUUCGACCCCUCUGUAGCGCG
rnacentral:tRNA from 1 species